rnacentral:rRNA from 1 species
UAGGGAAUCUUCGGCAAUGGGGGCAACCCUGACCGAGCAACGCCGCGUGAGUGAAGAAGGUUUUCGGAUCGUAAAGCUCUGUUGUAAGAGAAGAACGUGUGUGAGAGUGGAAAGUUCACACAGUGACGGUAACUUACCAGAAAGGGACGGCUAACUACGUGCCAGCAGCCGCGGUAAUAGGUAGGUCCCGAGCGUUGUCCGGAUUUAUUGGGCGUAAAGCGAGCGCAGGCGGUUUAAUAAGUCUGAAGUUAAAGGCAGUGGCUUAACCAGUGUUCGCUUUGGAAACUGUUAAACUUGAGUGCAGAAGGGGAGAGUGGAAUUCCAUGUGUAGCGGUGAAAUGCGUAGAUAUAUGGAGGAACACCGGUGGCGAAAGCGGCUCUCUGGUCUGUAACUGACGCUGAGGCUCGAAAGCGUGGGGAGCAAACAGG